CGGGGCGUAGCUCAGCUUGGUAGAGUGCUUGGUUCGGGACCAAGAGGUCGCUGGUUCAAAUCCAGUCGCCCCGACCA
rnacentral:tRNA from 1 species